rnacentral:rRNA from 1 species
GUAUAAGACUUUACCAAAUGAUUGUAUGCUAUGCAGCCCGAACCAGAUCGAGCUACUCGACAAACAGUUUUACCAUAGAUACUAACUCAUCUAUGGUGGGCAAAUAGUGAGAAGAUUUGUAAGUAAGAGGUGACAUGCCUACGAGCCUGGUGAUAGCUGGUUGUCCAGGAAAUGAAUCUAAGUUCAGCUUUAAAGAUACCGAAUUCAAAUAAACCCCACUGUAGCUUUAAAAGUUAGUCUAAAAAGGUACAGCCUUUUAGAAACGGAUACAACCUUGACUAGAGAGUAAAAUUUAACAGCUACCAUAGUAGGCCUAAAAGCAGCCAUCAAUUAAGAAAGCGUUAAAGCUCAACAACGAAAUUAAAUAGAUUCCACACAAAUGAUUAACUUCUAGCCCCAAUACUGGACUAAUCUAUUAUAGAAUAGAAGCAAUAAUGUUAAUAUGAGUAACAAGAAAAAUUUUCUCCUUGCAUAAGUCUAAGUCAGUGCCUGAUAAUACUCUGACCACUAACAGUCAAUAAAAAUAAUCCAACAAUAAACAAUUUAUUGAUUAUACUGUUAACCCAACACAGGAGUGCAUCUAAGGAAAGAUU